GAUGAACGCUGGCGGCGUGCCUAACACAUGCAAGUCGAACGGAGUCGUUUUGGAAAUCUCUUCGGAGAUGGAAUUCUCGACUUAGUGGCGGACGGGUGAGUAACGCGUGAGCAAUCUGCCUUUAAGAGGGGGAUAACAGUCGGAAACGGCUGCUAAUACCGCAUAAAGCAUUAAAUUCGCAUGUUUUUGAUGCCAAAGGAGCAAUCCGCUUUUAGAUGAGCUCGCGUCUGAUUAGCUAGUUGGCGGGGUAACGGCCCACCAAGGCGACGAUCAGUAGCCGGACUGAGAGGUUGAACGGCCACAUUGGGACUGAGACACGGCCCAGACUCCUACGGAGGCAGCAGUGGGGAAUAUUGCGCAAUGGGGGAAACCCUGACGCAGCAACGCCGCGUGAUUGAAGAAGGCCUUCGGGUUGUAAAGAUCUUUAAUCAGGGACGAAACAAAUGACGGUACCUGAAGAAUAAGCUCCGGCUAACUACGUG
rnacentral:rRNA from 1 species